AAUUGGCAAAGGAAAUGAGAUUUUCCUCCUACAGCCAUGAAAUACCUUGAUUAUAUUUCAGGAAUUGCUACAUGACAUUUUAAUCUUCUGGCUUUACAGCAGUGGCUAAUCCUGAAUGGCUGAAAGAAGUUGAAAUUGCAGCAAUCUGUAGUCAGUAGCUUCUCCCACCUCACUGAACUGUGGUUCCUGAAGUGUCCAACCAAGGUAAAUAUGAUAGUUCUCCCACUUCAGACUGGAACCUGUGUCUGGACUCAUCAGCUCACAGGAGUCCCUGUCCCCCACAGAAAUUUUAUGCCCUUGAUUUUUAUCAGCUAGGAUGACUUCCUGGAGACCAUCACUUCAGUGACAAGACUGAGGGAGAAGUGCAAGCAGAUUCCGCCUCCUCUAAAUGGACACAGAGCACUUAAUGGCAUCCUUCAGUUUCCGCCAGUGAUGGUUACGGAGCUCCAUGUGAACUAAAAAAUGCAUCUUUCUGUACUCUUCCCUCAUACCACAUAUUCCUGGAGAGUCAUCUCUCCACACUUGGGAUGUAACAGUACAUCUCACUGUGGAGCUCCCUGACCACACUGACCAGUGGCUUGAGCUUGCUGCCCAGAUUAUUAAGAGGCUUGGGUCUCUGGUACCUGCAGCCUGGUAGACGGCCGGAGAGGAGGGAAAGGCAUGCUCCCAGCAAGGUGCCCUUCGGUGGGGCUGCUCUAAUGAGCCAGCUUUGUUAUCUGCCUUGCUGCUGGUCCCAGAGAGGCUUGCAGGGACGUCUGCUGUUUUACCUUCUUAAAAGGCACCAAAUGAUGACAGUUAAGAGCCUACCAGGAGGAAAUGAGCUCUUAGGGCAGUGUUUCAUGUCUUGCUUGCAAGGCUUUAUUGGAUUAACUUUGUACUAGAACCACCAUACACUCCCCUUGCAGGAGAGGCUGAAAAAGCUUAACUGUGGGAUAAAAGCUUUACAGCCGUAUUUUUGUCAAACAGGUGACUUACAUAAAAAUAUCUUUACAUGCAUUAAUGUAAAGUUUUGGCAAGGCCGCAAAGCAGGCUGCUCCUCAAUGAUCUUUGCCUUAAUGCUCCGCUCAGCCCAGUGUUAGGCAUUGUAACUCUCUUGCUUUGCUUCUUAUUUUCCACAUUAUGGACAGUGUAUUUCCUCUCCUGCACACCCCUUGCAAAUGUAGAGGUUCUGUGAGAGAAACACCUGGUGCUACUGUCACUAUUCAAGGAGUGCCUUUUUCCUCUGUGGGUACCUGCUGCUUGGCAGCUCCAGCUGGGCAGCACUGCCAGCCUGGGUGAGGAAGACUUUCAUACUUUCAGCUACUUCCCCAUUAUUUACACAUGAAGUUAAUAACUGACUCAAGAGUUGAUCUACAAGUAUAUUUUCAGGGCCAUUCUUGGUAAAUUUUUACCCUCUCAGCCACAAAGCUCUUGUUUUUUGUAAUUUCCUUCCUGUAUUUUCCCUUAACCCUAAUACAUUAAUGUGUUAGUUUUGAAACAGCCGGUGUAUUCUCUCCCUCUUCUUCUCCCUUGCCUUCUGAUUCUUUUUUUCACUGUCCUCUAUCUCUACUUCUGUUGUUUGCAGAAAACGGCUUUUCUCCUCCCUCUCCCUCUUCACAGCUCCCACCAUCUGUCUCUCUACAAAUACAAAGCUUUAGGGGAAAUGAUUCACUAGGCUGCUAGCUCAUUACUCACACUCUGCCCAUCAUGGUUUCUGUCCUUGUAGGAUGCUCUUAACUAAUGUAAAGAUCGAUGAAUCCUGGGAAUUGUUAUUCAAUUAAAACAAAUAAUACCCCAGCAGUUAAAUAGAUUGGGCUUUUUGUACUUCUUAAACACCAAUGCUUAGUUUUUCUUCCUCACUCUGCUAGCAUUGUUUUUUCAGAAAAGGAUCACUGAAACAGAAGAAUACAAAUGAUCACUGGACCAUUUAAUGCAACCUUGUGUAUCACAUGAUGCAGGAGUUACUUAAUGAAAUUCCCUGGCCCAAACCAAGCAAAUCUGUGAUAAAUCUAGAGCACAUAUUUUAGGAUGACAGCCAAAAUGAUGAAAGGAAUUUACUACCCAGCCUGGCUAAUCAUUUUGAAUGCUUAACUGCACUCCCAAAUAUGCUGUUUUGCAAGGAGGAAACCUGACACAGCCGCAUUCCCUAUAGAUUUUCCUCCUACAGCCUCUCCCAGGCUGUGCACCCCAAAAGCCCCCUGACCCCCUGCCAGCACUGUCCAGGGGCAGGGUGGCCAGCUGUGACUCUGUGAGCUGUAGCUGGCCAGCUGCCCACCUCUGGGAAGAGACCUCCACAGGCCUCAACCACCACUGCCUCUUCCACAGCAUGAGGGCUUGGGGCUAGGUCUUUGCUCAGGUAAUUAUUUCCAUGAAGCUCAUUCAUAGGCAUUUAAUGUCUUUGAGCUUCUCCCUAUUAAAUGUGAUAGAGAUUGGCUGAGGGACUCAGAAGCCAUUUGAGGUAGACUAGUUCACAGUCUUAAAACACUUCAAACACCAGAGAAAGCCGUAUUGAGUUGGCAGGUAUGACACAGCAUCUCAGGAGUCUUGCUUAACCUGGAGGCUGAGCUCAACACUGUAGGGCAUUUCAAGUGACCCUAAAUGUUGAUGUUUAGGUACCCACGUCCCAUUCCUUUUGUCUUCACUUUGUUGACCUUUUAAGAAGGAUUUCUGUCACGAUUUCAGGCUUGUAAACCACAGACUAGAAAGUUAUUUUCUUAAUUGGAAGUUUAGGUUUUCAUUUAUCACAUAGAAAAUGGACCUCUUCACCCCACAUGCAAGUAAGUAACAAGAAGUAUCACUACCCAACCCAACUUUAUUGUGCCUUGUCAGGAAGCUGCUGGCAAUGUCAGGUAUGAACCUAUUUCAGUUGUUGAGCUUCCCUUUAGAAACUGGAGUUGUAAGAAAUAUCUGCAAAUAUCACAAUCAAAAUUGUAAGAAUUGACAACACUGGACACACCCUGUCCCAGUUCCCUUAAAUGGCUGCAACUCUUUAUGCAGAACCCUGCUAAAGGAAAAUGUGAGUAUAUCUGCAAUGUGGUUCUUCAGGUUUUUUUUUCAUGAGCACCACAAAGCACGCCCUGUAUCAACACACCACACUGCCACCACCUUCAUGGAAAGCUAAUUAAAUGUUUCAGGUAAUGUAGCAGGAGUAUUAAUUUCUUGGCUGAUUUACUUUUUGGACUACCAAGCACAUGUACUUUUUUAUAAAGCUGUGUUUGGGUCAUUCUAUAACAAAAAUAAAGCUGAGGAGGAUCUUUGGAACGAGCCUGCAUUGAGCAGGCGUGAAGUGCUCUGUGUCAGAGCAGGACAACUACUCUAAAGAAUAAGGGCUGCAGAAUUUUCAGCCAACAGGGUCCACUGUUACCUCAGUGUGGUUAAGGCAGUUUUUUAAAGAAGAGCCCUCACCAAAGUCAUACUUAUGUGCUCUGUAAAAUAAAAAGUUCAAAUUUUAGCAGAUGUGGUGUUGUUGAGCCUUCCACGGUUGCCAAUACCCCGUGGCCCUCCAACAUCUUUGAGUAUUUUAUUGUUCCACACUCCAUACAAGUUGUAAGUGUCAAUGUUACUUCUCUCAACAAUUGCUGGCUUUCCAAAUGCCAGUUGUCCUUUGACAUGCUCUGUUUUAAAUAAGGGCUGAAGAGCAGUAAUGAAGCUAGAGGCCUGCUGUAAAAAAUACUGCAGCGUUCCAUGGUACUGACAGCACACAUGUAGUCAUGCGUUUUGCUCUCCAUUUGUGGCCUAUUGCUGCAACACACUGAAGGUGUUCGGGGCCAAGCUGUGAGGAAAUGGAGCUCCAGAGAUUUCAGAUCUGAGAGUCCUCUAAUUGAAGACAGUAUCUUUAUGCAAGACAGGCUAAGGCAAACUUGUGUUACCCAACAGUUACCAUUCCUCUGUUGUUCCCAGCAAUAAUAAAAACUGACACGAUAUAUAGGGUUCCCUUACAAAAGGCAAAUAUAUUUAAUAGUGUAUAUACAAAUUAACUAUUCAAUAACGCUAUACAAGGCAGGAAUAUCUUUAAAGAAACCCUGAGCAAAGAGAAGGAUGUAAUUUUUAUUUUACACUUAUUGCAACAUUAUUUCUGGUAUUUGUUUGCUAUAUCGACUAAUAAAGGAAUAUGUUAAAAACAGAUGUUAAAAUAAAACUG